rnacentral:rRNA from 1 species
AUUGAACGCUGGCGGCAUGCCUUACACAUGCAAGUCGAACGGUAACGGGCCUUCGGGUGCCGACGAGUGGCGAACGGGUGCGUAAUACAUCGGAACGUGCCUGAUCGUGGGGGAUAACGAGGCGAAAGCUUUGCUAAUACCGCAUACGAUCUACGGAUGAAAGCAGGGGACCGCAAGGCCUUGCGCGGACGGAGCGGCCGAUGGCAGAUUAGGUAGUUGGUGGGAUAAAAGCUUACCAAGCCGACGAUCUGUAGCUGGUCUGAGAGGAUGAUCAGCCACACUGGGACUGAGACACGGCCCAGACUCCUACGGGAGGCAGCAGUGGGGAAUUUUGGACAAUGGGCGCAAGCCUGAUCCAGCCAUGCCGCGUGCAGGAUGAAGGCCUUCGGGUUGUAAACUGCUUUUGUACGGAACGAAAAGCCUUCUUUUAAUACAGGAGGGUCAUGACGGUACCGUAAGAAUAAGCACCGGCUAACUACGUG